rnacentral:lncRNA from 1 species
UGUUGAAUUGUAAUCCUAAUGUGUUGGAGCAGAGGCCUGGUGGGAGAGCAAUGUGAGAAUGGACUAAUACAUUAUCUAUUAAUUUAUCUAUUAUUUAGUUCAUUGGGUUGGAAGCAGAAGACCUAAAUUUAUAUCUCAUUUGCAAUAUUUACCGCCUAUGUGCUCCACAAAUAUUCAAAAUUCCUUGAACCACACAUUUCUCAUCUGGAAAACAGGGCUAACAAUGCAUAGGGUAGUGUAUAC